rnacentral:lncRNA from 1 species
AUUACUAACCAUGCAUGGCAAACAAACAUAAUCACAUUAUAAACAUUAGACAUGACAUGAAUAGUUAGGCUUACAAGCCAUAAUUAAUAUGAGCCACAUCUCAUGGCCAUAUGCAUAUAACUCAAUAUAAGCCAACACAUUUGGCCAAAGAAAAAUAAUGCAUGCCAAUCAACUAGAUCCCUAUACAUGCCACUCACUUGAAAAUUUCUAAUAUAUACUUCAUUUUUUCCAAAGGUAGCGACUUGAUAGUGUGAUGCUGCCUCCGACGAUCUCCAACUCCGAGCUAACCUGAAAACACUAGAGGAAAGGAAAGGAAUGGAGUAAGCUUUAUAGCUUAGUAAGACCGUAUGAAAAUAAUAAGUAACUUAUCAACUUGCUUCUCACGGUAAUACAACCCUAUUUGCAUUUUUACUCAUGUUCCAAUCAAGCUAUUUUCUCGAGUCACAGUCACUAAAUUAUUUAUAUCUGGAGCUACGGAACUCAAAAUUAACUUCCGCUAAUUUUUCCUGAAACUAAACUCACAUAUCUUCUUACCAUAAAAUUUUCAAAAUUUUUGGUUUGGCCAAUUAGUACAGUUUAUUCCUUAAAUUUACCAUUUUUUGUUGUCUGAUAGUUCUAACUCCUCUUCACUAAAAAUUAAUUAUCUCAAGGUACGGGACUCGAAUGAUGUUCCCAUCUAUUUUUCUUAAAAAUAGACUCAUUAAUAAUUCUAAGCAUAUAAAUUAUAACUCAUAACUAUUUUAUUAGAAUUUUCAAUGAUAUUCUCAAAUCAGAACAGGAGAUUUUGAAGUCAUUCUAACUCUGUCUCACAACAAUUUAAAUAUUUUAUAAUAUGAAACUCUUUUGCUUACACCGUUUCUUCUAUAUGAAAUUAGACUCAUUAGGAUUUAAUUUCAUAUUUUAUUCAGCCUCUAACUCAAUUUCCAUAAUUUUUGGUGGACUUUCAAAGUCGGACUAUGGCUGCUGUCCAAAACUGUUUUAGUGUAAAUUAAUGAUACUAAGUUUAUCACACCAUAUUAAUUCACUUUUGCCACAUUGGUAAGGUUACAUAUUCAUACAUCAUAAGUAUAGACCUAUAUCACAAGGUCAUCACAAAAUCAUUCUCAUAAGCAUGAAUCACCUAUUUACAUCUUCACUAAAGGUGCAUCAUAAACUGAAAUCAUUUCUCAUGAGCUUGGCAUACAUACAUGUGUUAUUCAACAUGCGCAUUUUCAUUUCUUACUAAUCAUAUAACAUGAAUAGAAUUCACAUCUCAUCAAUUUCAUGUAAGUACUUGUACCACUCACAAUAUGGUCAUAACCUUUCUUGUUUAGCUUAAACCAUAACUCUCACUGUUGAACCAUUCGGAAAGCUAUCGAAUAUUCACUAAGCCUCAAACAUAAGGUAUAAUGCUGAUGCCAUGUCCCAGACAUGGUCUUACACUGGCUCAUCCAUCAAGUUGAUGCCAUGUUGCAGACAUUGUCUUACACUGACUAUCGAAAUCGAGGCUGACGUCAUGUCCUAGGAAUGGUCUUACACUAGCUCUCACAUAGCCAUAUCGAUGCCAUGUCCUAGACAUGGUCUUACACUGACACAUCUCGUAGUCGAUGCAUGUCCCAGACAUGUCUUACACUGGCUUACAUCUCGAGGCCGAUGUAUGUCCCAGACAUGUCUUACACUAGCACUCGUCUGAAUGCCGAUGCCAUAUCCCAGACAUGGUCUUACACUAGCUCACAAUAACCCAUACGUCAUGGCAUGAAUAUCCGAUUUAUUCCCUAUGGUUCAAAAGGGAAUUAUACUAUCUCAAUUAUCAUUAUGCAUUCUCAUUUCCACAAUCAAACAUUUCAUGCUAUAUCAAUUCAACACAUAAUAAUAAUAAUGUAAUUGUAUUAUUUACAUACAACUUACUCGUUUCAAUAGAAUAUCAUAUUCCAUCAAAUCUCCAAGCAUUCAAUCAACACAUAAACGCCAUUUACAUUUGACAUCACUUUCUCCUAUACAAUAUCAUCAACAUAAACUUUAGUAUAAUCAUGACAAGAUAGAUUUUAAAGUAUAAUAACAAUAGCAUAAAUAUCAUGCUCAUUUAAUCACACGGACUUACCUCAAAUGAAAUUUCGACUAAUUAUUCUCUUUUUGUCUUUAACUACGCACUUUCUCGAUUUAAGCCCAAAUCUCGAUUUUUAUUGAUCUAAAAUGAUGAAAUUCACUCAUUUAAUUAAUGUACUAAUCAUUUCAGACCUAAAACAUAUUUUGGAAAAAUUCACAUUUUGCCCCUAAACUUUUGCAUAAUUACGAAUUUACCCCAAGGCUCGGAAAUUGAAAUUUAUUAGAUUACUAGAAGAUUUAAUACAUGUUGAACAUUUUUUUCUUCUAUGGAAACCUCAAAUUCUCACUAUUUCAUGCUUUUAUAAGCAUUAACAACUUUUACUAAUUAACCCGUUUUAACCAUUUUCAACAGAAAUCACUUAACAAAAAUCGUUCUCCUAACCUCAAGCAUCCUUAUUCUACCAUUAAACAUCAAAAUGCACAAUUAUCUAGCAUCGGUCAAUUUUUUUAAACUUCAUUUUUCAUGCAAAUAAAUGGUAGAAAUAGAAAGGUUAAGCUUUUAGGAUCUCAAAAAUACGAAGAACAUUAAAAACGGGGCUCAAAUACUCUUACAAUUGAGCUUUGAAAAUCUUGAAACCUAGCCAUGGAGUCAUGUAAAUUUCGGCAGCCAU